rnacentral:sRNA from 16 species
AUGUAGCACGCGUGCACUCCGGUUCUUGUGCGCCGUCCACGCCCACUUGGCGGUGACUGGCUACGUUGUGUUUGCC